UGGGGAAUAUUGCACAAUGGAGGGAACUCUGAUGCAGCGACGCCGCGUGAACGAAGAAGGCUUUCGAGUCGUAAAGUUCUUUUAUAUGGGAAGAUAAUGACGGUACCAUAAGAAAAAGCCCCGGCUAACUACGUGCCAGCAGCCGCGGUAAUACGUAGGGGGCUAGCGUUGUCCGGAAUCACUGGGCGUAAAGGGUUCGCAGGCGGAAAUGCAAGUCAGGUGUAAAAGGCAGUAGCUUAACUACUGUAAGCAUUUGAAACUGCAUAUCUUGAGAAGAGUAGAGGUAAGUGGAAUUUUUAGUGUAGCGGUGAAAUGCGUAAAUAUUAAAAAGAAUACCGGGGGCGAAGGCGACUUACUGGGCUCAUUCUGACGCUGAGGAACGAAAGCGUGGGUAGCAAACAGG
rnacentral:rRNA from 1 species